GUUUUAUUGGAAAGAUCUUGACAUCGAUCCAAGAUGCUGGUAACUAGUCGGGACAGAUUGUUACACAGAACUGCAGGUUUCUGGAUGGAGACUCAGCGCCAUGUCACAAAUACUUCAGAACCUAGAAUGAAAAUUACCGAAAGAGCAAUAGACUUUC